CGUAGGUGGCAAGCGUUGUCCGGAUUUAUUGGGUUUAAAGGGUGCGUAGGCGGUCUUGUAAGUCAGUGGUGAAAUACGGCAGCUUAACUGUCGAGGUGCCAUUGAUACUGCAGGACUUGAGUACAGACGAGGUAGGCGGAAUUGAGGGUGUAGCGGUGAAGUGCUUAGAUAUCGCCAAGAACACCGAUAGCGAAGGCAGCUUACUAGACUGUAACUGACGCUGAUGCACGAAAGUGUGGGGAUCAAACAGGAUUAGAUACCCUGGUAGUCCACACUGUAAACGAUGAUUACUCGAUGUUGGCGAUACACAGCCAGCGUCUUAGCGAAAGCGAUAAGUAAUCCACCUGGGGAGUACGCCGGCAACGGUG
rnacentral:rRNA from 1 species